GCCCAGACUCCUACGGGAGGCAGCAGUGGGGAAUAUUGGGCAAUGGGCGCAAGCCUGACCCAGCAACGCCGCGUGAAGGAAGAAGUAUUUCGGUAUGUAAACUUCUAUCAGCAGGGAAGAAAAUGACGGUACCUGACUAAGAAGCCCCGGCUAACUACGUGCCAGCAGCCGCGGUAAUACGUAGGGGGCAAGCGUUAUCCGGAUUUACUGGGUGUAAAGGGAGCGUAGGCGGUUUAGCAAGUCAGAAGUGGAAUCCCGGGGCUCGACUCCGGGACUGCUUUUGAAACUGUUGAACUAGAUUGCAGGAGAGGUAAGUGGAAUUCCUAGUGUAGCGGUGAAAUGCGUAGAUAUUAGGAGGAACACCAGUGGCGAAGGCGGCU
rnacentral:rRNA from 1 species